GCGAAGCGUCCUCUUUAAAUGACUGUGGUGGAACUAGCUGUGCUUACUAAUUGAGUCACUGCUCAGAGGGAACUAAUGGAGAAGGGAAAAGGAGGAAAAAAAGGGGGGAGAAUCUCUGUUCAUAAACAGUGUUUACUUAAAGCACCCCAUUGCCUUAUUAGUAUUAAUAGCAGUGACUUCAGAAAGCUCAUAUUCUGCCAUUGGACAGUUUUGUAUUAUUUAUGAUUGAAAUGAAAGCCUGGGAGUGCAACAGCAUGGUGGAGCGCUGCAUAGCAAACGAAGUUGCCUGUGCCAGUUUACAUAACCAACACUUGGGUAAACAGCGGAUUAAAAGCAGCAAGGGGGCAGGAGAAAAACGAGAGCAAAAUGUUAUAUCCACACAUUAAGACUUUUGGAGGCAGGCGUUUGGAGGACGCUGGGAGAACACCGCGGCCCCCGUUUGAUGCAGCUGGUCUUCAUCUGCCAGUCCUUUUGAGCACGAGAGCGAGGCAGUAGGAUGGCGUGUGGAGCCUGAAGACAGGGGAUGCGGGAUGCUAACUGCUGAGCUUCCUUUGAGCAUGACACGGGAUCUCUAACCAGGAGCAGCCACCAUCUUGAAAAAUGAUUUUCACGUCGACUCCCAACCAAACUCCUCAACUUCAGUAUUAACAGGUUUUUGAGCGGGUCCGUACUCUGUUAGAGUCGACUCGAGACCUGGUUGUAUAUGACGGAGGAGCCGCGCUGAAGCCUCGAGGCACCAGGUACUCAUCAGCGUCCAUCAAGUCAUCGAGGUCCU